rnacentral:rRNA from 1 species
GCAGUAGCCACGGGAAUACAGAGGGUGCGAGCGUUAAUCGGAUUUACUGGGCGUAAAGCGUGCGUAGGCGGCUUUUUAAGUCGGAUGUGAAAUCCCUGAGCUUAACUUAGGAAUUGCAUUCGAUACUGGGAAGCUAGAGUAUGGGAGAGGAUGGUAGAAUUCCAGGUGUAGCGGUGAAAUGCGUAGAGAUCUGGAGGAAUACCGAUGGCGAAGGCAGCCAUCUGGCCUAAUACUGACGCUGAGGUACGAAAGCAUGGGGAGCAAACAGGAUUAGAUACCCGAGUAGUCCCUGUCUCUUAUAC